UACGGGGGGGGCAAGCGUUGUUCGGAAUUACUGGGCGUAAAGGGCUCGUAGGUGGCCAACUAAGUCAGACGUGAAAUCCCUCGGCUUAACCGGGGAACUGCGUCUGAUACUGGAUGGCUUGAGUUCGGGAGAGGGAUGCGGAAUUCCAGGUGUAGCGGUGAAAUGCGUAGAUAUCGUAAGGAAGACCAGUGGCGAAGGCGGGUCUCUGGACAGUUCCUGACGCUGAGGCACGAAGGUCAGGGGAGCAAACGGG
rnacentral:rRNA from 1 species